rnacentral:rRNA from 1 species
GAUGAACGCUGGCGGCGUGCUUAACACAUGCAAGUCGAACGAUGAAGCCCAGCUUGCUGGGUGGAUUAGUGGCGAACGGGUGAGUAACACGUGAGUAACCUGCCCUUAACUCUGGGAUAAGCCUGGGAAACUGGGUCUAAUACCGGAUAGGAGCGUCCACCGCAUGGCGGGUGUUGGAAAGAUUUAUCGGUUUUGGAUGGACUCGCGGCCUAUCAGCUUGUUGGUGAGGUAAUGGCUCACCAAGGCGACGACGGGUAGCCGGCCUGAGAGGGUGACCGGCCACACUGGGACUGAGACACGGCCCAGACUCCUACGGGAGGCAGCAGUGGGGAAUAUUGCACAAUGGGCGCAAGCCUGAUGCAGCGACGCCGCGUGAGGGAUGACGGCCUUCGGGUUGUAAACCUCUUUCAGUAGGGAAGAAGCGAAAGUGACGGUACCUGCAGAAGAAGCACCGGCUAACUACGUG